GACGAACGCUGGCGGCGUGCUUAACACAUGCAAGUCGAACGGUGAUGCUCCAGCUUGCUGGAGUGGAUCAGUGGCGAACGGGUGAGUAACACGUGAGCAACCUACCCCAGACUCUGGAAUAAGCGCUGGAAACGGCGUCUAAUACUGGAUACGAAACUGGCCCGCAUGGGCAUGGUUUGGAAAGUUUUUCGGUUUGGGAUGGGCUCGCGGCCUAUCAGCUUGUUGGUGAGGUAAUGGCUCACCAAGGCGACGACGGGUAGCCGGCCUGAGAGGGCGACCGGCCACACUGGGACUGAGACACGGCCCAGACUCCUACGGGAGGCAGCAGUGGGGAAUAUUGCACAAUGGGCGAAAGCCUGAUGCAGCGACGCCGCGUGAGGGAUGACGGCCUUCGGGUUGUAAACCUCUUUCAGCAGGGAAGAAGCGAAAGUGACGGUACCUGCAGAAGAAGCACCGGCUAACUACGUG
rnacentral:rRNA from 1 species